ACUGAUUCUAAAUAGUUAAAAAGUAAGUAAAAUUGUCUCCAUAUGAAUUUUCGUUUCGACAAGGCAAUUAGUUAAACCUAUUAAAUCAGUCACAUUGUGGGGAGUUUACAAAUAGGAUUUGAUGGGGUCAACCAGUUGGUAUGAAUUGCUAAAAUAUAAAGGGAUUAAUUCAAAUUAUUAGUGGCGAUUAGGCUUCUCAAAACCCCUCUACCUAUUUGUUGGGAUUAAGGCAAGUUAGACGUUCAACCGGUGCGAUGUAGGGGUCUUAUCGACUAUAAUAUAGCCCAAUAAUCAUUAAAUUGAUUUAGUCAAUAAUAGAUAAUGAAUUAGAGGUAAUAGUUCUAGUUCAUGUUUCAAUAGAGAAUGAGAAAUUGAAGCUCAUCUAGACAUGUCAUCUCAUAGCAAUACUUGCAUAAGAAUAACUCAAGCUUAGUUUGAAAUAUAGCAAAGAUAGAUAGAUAAUAUAGAUAGAUUACAACAACCACAUAAGAUUACUAACAACUUCCAAAAAUUAAUUAUGUGUGAUUAAUAACUACCAACAUAAUUCAUUUCUCACUUUGUUUCUUGUUUUCCUUUGAUCAAUUUCCUCCAACAUAAUUUUUCUCUCAAUUCGCAAUGAAUCAUUAAGGUCAUGGAAGCAACCAAACAAUUACGAUUUACAAAUCCAAUGAUUUCAUAUGUAGAAGAAUUUCUUAAUCAUUGAAACGUAAGAUGGACUACACAUCACCCACUACCACAAAAACAACUUGGAAU
rnacentral:lncRNA from 1 species